CAACGGAGCCCUCCCUGAGCCCAGCAGCGGGCCCGGGCCGCUCGGGGGCCGCCGCCAUCUUGCUGCGCGCGAAAUGGCCGCCGCACGCCCCGCGGGUUGCAAGAUGGAGCCGAGGGCUGGGGCCCACCCGUUCCGCCCCUGCAGGGACGACCGCCCGCCGUCCUCCCGGCCCAGUACACGUAUUUGAAUGCACGUAUUCGAAAUCCUAAGCGCCCCCUCGUGAGCCGCCAUUGCACGGCCUAAAAGCGGUUGUCGUCUGGGGACCGAACGUUCCAAACUCAUUCGCGCUUUGCUGGUGCAUCUGAAGUACUCUUGGCAAAUGCACCGUCCUUGGGAAAACUCGAGAAACGCGGCCCCCAAGCUCUAUUUUUAACUCCCCGGGGGACUACUUUUCUCCCCCCCUCCACGGCGGCGGAGGGACACCGGGUUCCUGUGGCGUGAUUCGUCCCUUCGCAAUAAAUGCGGGCGCCCGGGGCCCGGCGGCAGGCAGUCAGGCAGCGAGGGCGCAGGCGGCGAGCGGGGCUACGGGGAGGCGGUCGCAGAUAAGUUCCUGCUUAAAAAGACGAAGGAAUUUUAAAACUUAGUUCUCUAAACUUAAACCGGCCAGAGUAGCCUGUCUAGAUUAAAAUGCUCGGUGUUAAAACCUUAAAGUAGCUUCUUUAACUUAAAAAAAAUUCGAAGAGGAAAUACGAAGGCCUGUUUAAGGAGGUUAGGAAAGGAAAAGGAAAUAUUUAUACAGUCUGAUGGAGGUUGAUAACGAAGCUUUUAUGCGGAGUAGUUUAAAAAGAUCGUAAAGGGAGGGAUUGCGGAGUCUUUAAAAAAUCUAGUUUGAAGGUCAAACUUAGACUAAACGAAGGUUAAACAGAAUCUAAAUGCCAUUUAAAAAACAAACAGUAAAGUUAAAGAGAAUAGCUUGAAAACGAAGUGUAGCCUAAAAAGAUUGUAAAAAUAGGAUAAAUUUAAAAUAGUUAUUAAAACCCUUCGUUUGAUGGCGCAGAAAAGAUUGCGUCAUUUAAAGCAUUUGAGUUGGAAACGGAAGAUAGUGUGGUAGCUUAGUAUUUGGAGAAAGAAGAUUAGAAAUUGGAAGUGGAAAACGAAGACAAUUACAGGAAGGUGAAGAAAAGCUGUAGAGAAGAUAGGAAAAUAGAAGACGAAGCAUCUUUAGAAGACAGAAAAGGUAUUUAAACGCUCAAGGUAGGAAGCAGAAGAAAACUAGAAGAUAGAAGCAAGAUAGAAAAACAAGCUAAGACAACUUUGGAUGCACAGAAUUCAAAAUAGGCAAAGAAGACGGAGACGAAAAGGUUGCAUGAGAUAAAAAGUCUAAAAUAAGAAAGAAAUUAUCUUUAAAGCCAUAAAUUUAAAUUUCUGACGGAGCAGUUUUUAGAAGAGUCUGAUGUAGACAGCCACUUUACAACAGUCAAACUAGAAAUCAAGGCUGCUAGGACUGAAAUUAAAUGAAAAGUUAAGGCAGAAUGUGUUUGAAGAGUUAGAAGAAUUUUAAAGGCCUUAACUUGUAUCUUAAUGUUUGAAAACCAUACGGACUUUUGCUAAAAUUUGAAGAGUAUCAGCAUUUUGCAUUGGACUUUGAGCUGAGGUGCAUUUAAAAACCCUAAGGACUAGCAUUGGCAGCUGAUUGAGGUCAACGCAGAAGUGGAUUCAGUGAGCCUAGGAAGACAGGAGCAGCAGACAGGAGCCCGAAGCCAGUUUGGUGAAGCUAGGAAGGACGGAGGAGCCAGCAGCAGCAGUGCUUGGUGAAGAUAGGAGUCCAGGAAACGGUGCGGUUCGGUGGAGGAAGCUAGGAAGAAGCCAUUACCAUGUGGUGGUGAAGCUAGGAAAGAGGAUUCCAGGAAGGUGGUGAUGAAGCUAGCUGGCGGCUUGGCUUGUCAACUGCGCGGAGGAGGCGAUCAGGCAUUGUGGAGAAUAGAUAGCGGCUCCUAGACCAGCAUGCCAGUGUGCAAGAAAGGCUGCAGGGAGAGCAUGUGGUGCGGUAACAUUCCGUGAGGUCGGCAACCGGUGUUUUUCUGUAACUUGAGGAUGACUUUCCACAGAUGCUAUAGUUGUAUUGGCACACUGGGGUAGAGAAGGCGUGUACUGCUAUGCCGUUGGCACGACACCUUCAGGGACUGGAGCUGCCUUCUAUCCUUGGAGGAGUGUCCCCAGUGCAGCUGAAGUGCAGCACAGUGCGCCUUUGUUUCACAGUCCUUCAGGAGAGCCUCAGGAGCUUGACUAGGCCAGAUGUUGAAGUUAAGUCCAAGCACCAUGACUUACUAUUGCAUUAAAAGGGGAGGGGCAAAACUUAGUUGGCCAUGGCCUCUUGUGUGGGUGGGUGGGUGGGGUAGGUAAUUGUUUAGUUUAUGAUUUCAGAUAAUCAUACCAGAGAACUUAAAUAUUUGGAAAAACUGAGGAAAUCUCAGCUUUCAAGUUGGCAAGUAACUCCCAAUUCUCCAGUUUUUGUUUCCAAUUUUUGGUUUGGAGAGCCGAGGAAGAUUGCCCUGGGUUUACACCACCAGCCCAUUAACUUGGGCAAGGAAAGUAAACAGUUGUCUGUUCCCUGGAAAAAUGUGUAGGGCUGGGGGUUGGUCUGGUCCACUGGAAUGAUAAGAAAGCUACAGUGUUGGGAUUUUUUUUAAGCUACUGGAUGUAGAUUGUAGUGUGGUUCUCUCUUGAAAUUUUUUUCAGGUGACUUAAUGUAUCUUAAUAACUACUAUAGGAACUUCAGAGCAAAGGAAGUGGCUUAAUGACCCUGAAGGGAUUUCUUCUGGUGAUAGCUUUUAUAUUAUCAAGUAAGAGAUUUCAUCUCAGUUGUGUAUAAGCAAGUCUUUUUCCUAGCGUAGGAGAAAUGCUUUUCCUUUGUGUGACUAUCUAAACAAGCUGUAAAGGUAUGAUUUUUUUUUUGUGCAUUGUAUGCUUUAUAUUUGUUUGUAAUUCAUAAUCUAAGAAUUGUGAUAGUUAGCCUGAAUGUCUUUAGAGGGUGGGCUUCUGUUGAUGAGGGAGGGGAAACCUUUUUUUUCUGUAGACUUUUUUCAGAUAACACCAUCUGAGUCAUAACCAGCCUGGCAGUAUGAUGACCUAGAUGCAGAGAGAACAGCUCCUUGGUGAAUGAUAAGUAAAGGCAGAAAAAAAGAUAAUGUCAUGUCUCCAUUGGGGAAUGAGCAUGAGCCCGAGAUUCUUACUGCUGAUGAAAAGUGUCUGCAAUAUGCAAAAAAUUAAGCAAAUGAAAGCAACCAGGAUAAAGUUAUGGAAAUCUACCAUUUAAAAAAAGUUAAUGGUUUAUCAAGCUUUAUCCACAAAAGUAAAGAAUUGAUGAAAACAAUGAAGAUCAAAUGUCCAUCUCAAAACACUGCUUUUACAAAAGCAGAAUAAAAAAUGAAAUGAAAAUGCUACAUUAAUCCUGGAGUAAAAAGAAGCUGAAAAUUUUGAGAUGAGUGGGAUCAAGUGGAUUCAGAGGAGGCUGUGCAGUGUGCCAAUCUUUCGCUUGCCUCAGACAGGUUCUCUUCAUAAUCAGAAGUUGCUUCAUUCCAUCUCGGAGCAGGGACAGCAGACUGCUGUUAACAGAUAAGUUUUAACUUGAUCUGCAGUGUUGCAUGUUAGGGAUAAGUGGUUAUUUUGUAAGGGUUGUUGGAGGUAUUGGCUAUGUCACCUACCUGGCCCCUUCCUUAGGGGAUUUCAGGGUUGUAAGCAGGUUUUCCGUCUAACCUUUAAAAAUUCUAGGCCUUGUGCCAGUGCACUUGUACGACGGGAUAGUAGGUGACAGGCUUUUGCAUUGUAAAUAAUUUCAUCACAAAAGCCUCACGAUUAAGUGCCUGCUCUGAUCACAUUGCUAAGGAAUCUAUCAUUUACAUCUCUGAAGACCCUGUGAAAGGGACAUAGCAUUUCAUCAUAUCAUGUGCUGAAAGUUAGGUAUGUUCAUCUUGCAAAAAUUUAAAUGUGUUCACUGUACUUGUGCUUAAAACCAUUAAAUCAUACAAAUUAAUAAUAAAGUACUUCAGUAGAGAAUGUA